rnacentral:rRNA from 1 species
UACGUAGGGGGCAAGCGUUGUCCGGAUUCAUUGGGCGUAAAGCGCUUUAAGGCGGUUCGAUAAGUCGGGUGUGAAAACUCCAGGCUCAACCUGGAGACGCCACUCGAUACUGUCGUGACUAGAGUCCGGUAGGGGACCACGGAAUACAUGGUGUAGCGGUGAAAUGCGUAGAUAUCAAGCGGAACACCAGUGGCGAAGGCGAGUCCCUGGACAACUCCUGACACUGAGGCACGAAAGCUAGGGGAGCAAACAGG